rnacentral:rRNA from 1 species
UUCUUAAAAGAGAAAAAUUCAGAACAGACAUGAAAAUGUCAACCUAAAACAGUAAAGGGAAAGAUAGCUAGCAGUUAUCUGAACCGGAACAAACACUUUUAACGAGAGUUUGAUCCUGGCUCAGGAUGAACGCUGGCGGCGUGCUUAACACAUGCAAGUCGAACGAAGCGCUUAAAUGGAUUUCUUCGGAUUGAAGUUUUUGUGACUGAGUGGCGGACGGGUGAGUAACGCGUGGGUAACCUGCCUCAUACAGGGGGAUAACAGUUAGAAAUGACUGCUAAUACCGCAUAAGCGCACAGUGCUGCAUGGCACAGUGUGAAAAACUCCGGUGGUAUGAGAUGGACCCGCGUCUGAUUAGCUAGUUGGUGGGGUAACGGCCUACCAAGGCGACGAUCAGUAGCCGGCCUGAGAGGGUGAACGGCCACAUUGGGACUGAGACACGGCCCAAACUCCUACGGGAGGCAGCAGUGGGGAAUAUUGCACAAUGGGGGAAACCCUGAUGCAGCGACGCCGCGUGAGCGAAGAAGUAUUUCGGUAUGUAAAGCUCUAUCAGCAGGGAAGAAAAUGACGGUACCUGACUAAGAAGCACCGGCUAAAUACGUGCCAGCAGCCGCGGUAAUACGUAUGGUGCAAGCGUUAUCCG